UACGGAGGGGGCUAGCGUUGUUCGGAAUUACUGGGCGUAAAGCGCACGUAGGCGGCGAUUUAAGUCAGAGGUGAAAGCCCGGGGCUCAACCCCGGAAUAGCCUUUGAGACUGGAUUGCUAGAAUCUUGGAGAGGCGAGUGGAAUUCCGAGUGUAGAGGUGAAAUUCGUAGAUAUUCGGAAGAACACCAGUGGCGAAGGCGGCUCGCUGGACAAGUAUUGACGCUGAGGUGCGAAAGCGUGGGGAUCAAACAGG
rnacentral:rRNA from 1 species